rnacentral:rRNA from 1 species
UACGUAGGGGGCUAGCGUUAUCCGGAAUUACUGGGCGUAAAGGGUGCGUAGGCGGUCUUUCAAGCCAGAAGUGAAAGGCUACGGCUCAACCGUAGUAAGCUUUUGGAACUGUAAGACUUGAGUGCAGGAGAGGAGAGUGGAAUUCCUAGUGUAGCGGUGAAAUGCGUAGAUAUUAGGAGGAACACCAGUAGCGAAGGCGGCUCUCUGGUCUGUAACUGACGCUGAGGCUCGAAAGCGUGGGGAGCAAACAGGAUUAGAUACCCUGGUAGUCCCU